rnacentral:rRNA from 1 species
UACAGAGGGUGCGAGCGUUGUCCGGAAUCACUGGGCGUAAAGGGCGCGUAGGCGGCUUGGUAAGUAGAGGGUGAAAUCUCACGGCUCAACCGUGGGGCUGCCUUCUAGACUGCCGAGCUUGAGCACAGUAGAGGCUGGUGGAAUUCCCAGUGUAGCGGUGGAAUGCGUAGAGAUCGGGAAGAACAUCUGUGGCGAAGGCGGCCAGCUGGGCUGUUGCUGACGCUGAUGCGCGACAGCGUGGGGAGCAAACAGG